GUGAAUCAUCGAAUUUUUGAACGCAAAUUGCGCCUUUUUCGAAAGGCAUGUCUGUUUGAGGGCACCAUUUAACAAAUAAUUUGCAUUUCUUGUGCACACGUGGUUGAGCUUUCCAAAAUUAUGUAUAAUUAUUUUUGGUGGCGCAUAAUAAACAGCGCGAUGCUUUUUUUCAUUUGUUUUUUAUUAAAUUUUUUUCUUGCUUGGGUUGUGAAAGGCUUGUU
rnacentral:misc_RNA from 1 species